rnacentral:ncRNA from 2 species
AACUUAUCAAGAGUGGUGGAGGGACUGGCCCUGUGAAGCCCAGCAACCUAUUUUGCAAAUGCAGAAUUAAGAAUUAAGAAUUAUGAAUUAAAGUGAAAAUUUCAGCGAAAUUUUUUGUAAUUCAUCAUUCAUUAUUCAUAAUUCAUCAUUGAAUAAAAGUUGGUGCUAAUUCCAAGUAGAUAAGAA